UAAAAAGCUUCAAACUGGGAUUAGAUACCCCACUAUGCCCAGCCUCAAACUAUGACUCAAUACAAAACACUUCCGCCCGGGAACUACGAGCUCCAGCUUAAAACCCAAAGGACUUGGCGGUGCCCCACCCACCUAGAGGAGCCUGUUCUAUAAUCGAUAACCCCCGCUUAACCUCACCACUUCUUGCCAAUACCGCCUAUAUACCACCGUCGCCAGCCCACCCCGUGAGGGAAUAAGUAGGCACAAUGAUCACCACCAAAACGUCAGGUCAAGGUGUAGCGUAUGAAGUGGAAAGAAAUGGGCUACAUUCUCUAAUCUAGAGCACACGAAAAAUCAUAAGAAAUUAGAUUGGAAGGAGGAUUUAGUAGUAAAAAGAAACAAUAGUGUUCUUUUUAAAUUGGCCCUGGGGCGCGCACACA
rnacentral:rRNA from 1 species